CUAACCAAAGUAGGAAACGUAGAUAAAACUGCUGCUAAGAUUGCCUUGGAUAUUAUUGAUCAUGAUCAAAAAACAACAGAGGAUAUUAAAAAAUUGGAAGCUUUUGCAAAAGACAGCGAAGCUGACAUUGGGAAACUAUCUGAAACAAUAAAG